GCGGUCGCUGGUGAGGCAGAGCGCCUGGACGAUCGGCACGUCCAGGGCGGCGAGCGCGCCGACGUCCCAGGCGUCCUCGUCGCCGCCACCGGA
rnacentral:tRNA from 1 species